rnacentral:rRNA from 1 species
AAGUUAAGUGGUAAAGGAUGUGGGAUUGCACAGACAACCAGGAUGUUGGCUUAGAAGCAGCCACUCAUUCAAAGAGUGCGUAAUAGCUCACUGGUCGAGUGAUCCUGCGCCGAAGAUUUCCGGGGCUAAAACUUACUACCGAAGCUACGGCAUCAGUAAUGAUGGGUAGGGGAGCUUCCCAUACGGGUUGAAGCAUGACCGUAAGGACAUGUGGACAGUAUGGGAGUGAGAAUGUUGGCAUGAGUAGCGAGAUGUGGGUGAGAAUCCCACAGGCCGUAAACCCAAGGUUUCCAGGGGAAGGUUCGUCCGCCCUGGGUUAGUCGGGACCU